AGUAAACGCUGGCGGUAGGCCUAACACAUGCAAGUCGAACGGCAGCACAGUAAGAGCUUGCUCUUACGGGUGGCGAGUGGCGGACGGGUGAGGAAUACAUCGGAAUCUACUUUUUCGUGGGGGAUAACGUAGGGAAACUUACGCUAAUACCGCAUACGACCUACGGGUGAAAGCAGGGGAUCUUCGGACCUUGCGCGAUUGAAUGAGCCGAUGUCGGAUUAGCUAGUUGGCGGGGUAAAGGCCCACCAAGGCGACGAUCCGUAGCUGGUCUGAGAGGAUGAUCGGCCACACUGGAACUGAGACACGUUCCAGACUCCUACGGGAGGCAGCAGUGGGAAUAUUGGACAAUGGGCGCAAGCCUGAUCCAGCCAUACCGCGUGGGUGAAGAAGGCCUUCGGGUUGUAAAGCCCUUUUGUUGGGAAAGAAAAGCAGCAGGUUAAUACCCCGCUGUUCUGACGGUACCCAAAGAAUAAGCACCGGCUAACUUCGUG
rnacentral:rRNA from 1 species